GCCAUUUUUUGUUAAUUCCACCAUUCACUUUCUUUAUUUCCCUUAGAACCUGAAUUGUGUCCCCUAUAUGUCCAUCUCCUGUUCUGGCAGUGUGCUGUGGCCGUUCGUGCUCCUCCUUGACUGAUGUUUCCCUGCCACCCAGCCUUUGGCUCCCUUUGUCGGCUGGAGAGCCCUUGUUUCUGUGGGGGUUCUCACCCCGCCUCAACCUCUGGGGAGACAGUUCACCCAGGGCCAUCAGCCUAUUCCCAAUUGGGGACUAUUGGGCUAUCUACUUCGGGCUGUGCCACUGUUAAUAUUUACGCACCCCACUCCUGAUGACUGGCUUUAAACGCCAAGAAACGCGUCAAGUCAAUGGUCAGGGAUACCAAGUCAACUUUGUCCAACAAUGAAUUUUUAUUAAUCUUAAUGUAUAUCAAUUUCAUUAGGAUAAUCAUGUUCACUAUAUCUGUAUGUCUAUGUAUUGAUUGUGAUUGCUUUAGUAAUCGUGUAAAUCCCAAAUGAAUAUUAAAUAUGUUAUCAUUACGAUUUGAA